rnacentral:rRNA from 1 species
AGUGAACGCUGGCGGUAGGCCUAACACAUGCAAGUCGAACGGCAGCACAGUAAGAGCUUGCUCUUACGGGUGGCGAGUGGCGGACGGGCGAGGAAUACAUCGGAAUCUACUUUUUCGUGGGGGAUAACGUAGGGAAACUUACGCUAAUACCGCAUACGACCUACGGGUGAAAGCAGGGGAUCUUCGGACCUUGCGCGAUUGAAUGAGCCGAUGUCGGAUUAGCUAGUUGGCGGGGUAAAGGCCCACCAAGGCGACGAUCCGUAGCUGGUCUGAGAGGAUGAUAAGCCACACUGGAACUGAGACACGGUCCAGACUCCUACGGGAGGCAGCAGUGGGGAAUAUUGGACAGUGGGCGCAAGCCUGAUCCAGCCAUACCGCGUGGGUGAAGAAGGCCUUCGGGUUGUAAAGCCCUUUUGUUGGGAAAGAAAAGCAGCAGGUUAAUACCCCGCUGUUCUGACGGUACCCAAAGAAUAAGCACCGGCUAACUUCGUG